UACGUAGGGGGCAAGCGUUGUCCGGAUUUAUUGGGCGUAAAGAGCGUGUAGGCGGCCUGACAGGUCUGCUGUGAAAACUCGAGGCUCAACCUCGAGAUGUCGGCGGAAACCAUCUGGCUAGAGUCCGGGAGAGGAGAGUGGAAUUCCUGGUGUAGCGGUGAAAUGCGCAGAUAUCAGGAAGAACACCCGUGGCGAAAGCGGCUCUCUGGAACGGUACUGACGCUGAGACGCGAAAGCGUGGGGAGCGAACAGG
rnacentral:rRNA from 1 species